AUCAUUAAAAUAUAUUAGAUUAGAAUACCGUCAGAUUUCAACCCCCCUUCAUCUUCUCUGCACUGCAAAACUCAGCCGCUUCAUCUUCUUCGCUUUGCAUAACUCAGCGGAGAUACUUGUAUCUGUACUAUUUUCAUGUAUGCAAAACUCAACUCAUGCAUCUAUUUCGUUCGUUGGCCGCUGGUUUGUCAGAAAAAGAGAAGGAAAAAGGUUGAUUUGCUAGUUUAAUUUUAUGACGGAGAUGACGAUGAUUUGGAAGCCACUUCAUCUUCUCUGCUCUUUCAGCGAAGGCCACCAGUUGCAAUUCAGUUUCGAAAUUGGUCAACAAGGACGAUGCCGGCUCUGUGGUAAGUGAGGAAGGUUUUCCUUGGACUCCAACGUCUGGUACUCUAGUGUGCCAUUUUUCUGUUGCGACCAAGCAAAGUGGUUUUGCUUCAUCUAGCCAUUCUUCCACGAUUCCUACUCAAUCUUGGGUACAAGUUUCUGGUUGUAGCCUUGCACUCCAACUGUUCGAUGCAAUGCUGAGCUCAUGUGGGUUAUUCCAGGGUGGCUGUGUUAAUAGUUUUGCUAGGUUUCUCUUUUCAGUUAAAUUAUAGUUUUAUGAAUUUCAGAAGAAAAUAAAUAAUUAAAACAAUCCCAGACCAGUGGAGUUUGAGAAAUUGAGAGUGGUUGUGAAGUGAAGCUGUAUGGAAUGAAUAUUGAAAUGAAGCUUGUAAUGCAAUUGUAAUAUUGAGUGUGUUCGUACUUUGUAGGGAUGGUUUUUUUUUUU